rnacentral:lncRNA from 1 species
GCUCCAGGUCUCCGUGAACUUGCUGUUUAACACCGGAUCAUCACUUUGCCUCUUUUAGUCUCUUCAUCAGAAAUCUUAGGUGACUCCACAAAACUAACUCCAGACAGAAGACAUUGGCAGUGUGGCUGUUUAUCUGCCCCCAAACCUUUCAUGUAGGUUAACAAGCUCUAGGCUGAUGAUGUUUUUAUCAAUAUCUUCCUUGAAAUUUGAGUUGAAAGGAUUGUAGAGACUGCUUCACAAAACCUGUAUUCCGGAAAUGGAGUAAGAACUGGCCAACAGCACAUAGUUCAAGUUUUGGCUCCUCUACCUACUGGCCUCAUAACCUCUUUUCAGAAGACUCUAAAAGAGGCCCUAAGGCUACAAAGAGAGUGAGAAGCCCCCACUGACCACAGCCUUCCAGCUGCCCCUACCAAGGCUCCAGAAAUAUGAAUGAAACCAUCUUGGACCUUCUAGAAUAACCUAGCGGCCAAGCGAACACCGGAAGAAUCGCCCACCCAAGCCCUUCCCAAAUUCCUGGCCCACAAAAUCAUGAGAUAAAAUUAAAUGUGAUUUAAUCCGUCAGGCUUAGGGCUAGUUUGUUAUGCACUAAUAGAUAAUCACAAGACCCUUCUAUUCUUAACACCUAGCACAAUAUUUGACAUAGAGUAAACAUUCAAUAAAUGUAUAUAUUUUUUAAUAUUGACUGUGUAA